CGCCCGAGCGGGCCGAGCCGCCACCGCGGCUGGAGCUGUCCCCUCGCCAGAGCCGGCGCGGCGCGAGCGGCGGGAGGGAGGCGCGCCCCGCCCCGCCAGCCCGUCCGAGCGUCGGACGCGGCCCCCGCCGAGCCAUGGAGCCGGAGCCGGUGGAGGACUGUGUGCAGAGCACGCUCGCUGCACUUUACCCGCCCUUCGAGGCCACAGCACCCACUCUGCUGGGCCAGGUGUUCCAGGUGGUAGAGAGGACCUAUCGGGAGGAUGCGCUGAGGUACACGCUGGACUUUUUGGUGCCUGCCAAGCACCUGCUUGCCAAGGUCCAGCAGGAAGCCUGUAUGACCUUCCCAAGAAACUCCACGGACUUCAGCUUGGAGCCCCUCUGUGCCACUCAGUCCCCACCAGAAUGAAGAGGAGAGAAGGGGCUAGCUGGAGCCCCCAGUUGGCCCCCAAAUUCUGAGUGACCAUCCCAGAAACCUUGCAAGUCUGAGUGACCAUCCCAGAAACCUUGCAAGUCUCCUGGGUGCUGAGUUGCUGUCAGAGAAUGACCUGGAAAGAGUGAUCAAGCCAGAGGAGCUGCCCUGGAACAUGGGAGGCCACCGGGACCCAUCUCCCAGCCACUGGAUAGAAACACACCAGAUCACACCCAGCGAUGCACAGGGGUUACUCCUGGCUCUGCACUCAGGAAUUACCCCUGGCAGUGCUCAGGGGACCAUAUAGGAAGCUGAGAAUGGAAACCGGGUUGGCCGCAUGCAAGGCAAAUGCCCUACCCACUGUUCAAUUGCUCCAGCCCCGGUUUGUGAUUUAUUUUAUCUUUUUGGGUCACACCCGAUGAUGCACAGGGUUCACUCCUGGCUCUGCACUCAGGAAUUACCUCUGGUGGUGCUCAGGGGACUAUAUGGGAUGCUGGGAAUCGAACCCAGGUUGGCCGAGUGCAAUGCAAACGCCCUACCCGCUGUCCUAUCACUCCAGCACCCCCAGUCUGCUUAGGUUUGAUCCCUGGCACCUCUUAUGUUCCCUCAAGCCCUCUAGGAGUUAUGCCUGAGUACUUUGGGUGUGGCCUCCCCGAAAUUCUCAGACCAGAAAUAUGUCUCAGAUAACAGAGCACCUGCCUUGAUUAGGUUCCAGCUCUCCAAAACCCAACACCACCAGGUAUGACUCCAAGAACUACAGCAACAACAACAAAUAAAAACUUUUUUUUAAAAGGAACAAUUUUUUUUUUGGCUUUUUGGUCACAUCUGGCAAUGCUCAGAGGUUACUCAAUAGCUUUACAGUGAUCUUUAGGCACAGUUUUUAAUUCCCACAACUGGCUAGGUGCCCUCUCCUCCAUCCUGCUCAGCCAGCUAGAAACCCCUUUACCAGGUGACUUGAAUUCAUCUUCCAAGAACCUAUUUCAGUAGCAGACAGCCUGCUUUGCCAAGAUGAGACCCAGAGUUCAAGAGUUGGGUCCCCACCCUACCCAACACACUUGUUGUGGUCCUGGUGCCACUGAAAUCUGGGAUCCUCAGUGUUACAACAAAGGCCAGUGUCUGGAGCACCACUAUGAACAUACAUGCAGCAGAACUGAUGUGCAGCUGCCAGGCAUCACAACGGCCAAGGAAAAGGAAGGAGGUUAAAAGUCAUCACCUUCCUGCUAUUUUUAUUAGCAAUGCAUCCAUUUUGCUCUAUUUUGUUGUUGUUAGAGUGGGAGGUUUCACCCAGGAAUACUCAGGGAUCACUCUCGGUGGUCCAUGGGGGACCGUAUGGGAUGCUGGGGAUCAAACCCAAGUCGACCUCAUGCAAGGCAAGCACCCUAUAAUUACCUACCUACUGUACUAUUGCUCUGUCCCUGCCCCCAUUUUGCUUGCUUUUAAAAAGUUUUUAAGUUAGUUUUUGAGCCACAUCUGGCUUUGCUCAGUGAUUACUCCUGACUCUGCUCAGGAAUCAUUUCUGUCAGGGCUUAGGGAAACAUUUGCAGUGCUGGGGAUUAAACCAGGGUCAGGCAAGUGAUUUAUUCACUGUACUACAUAUCCAGCUCCCACUCUCCCCACUUUUAAAAGAUACUUGUCAAGGGGCUGGAGUGAUAGCACAGCGGUUAAGGCAUUUGCCUUGCACAUGGCCGACCCGGGUUUGAAUCCCAGCAUCCCAUAUGGUCCCCUGAGCACCACCAGGGGUAAUUCCUGAGUGCAGAGCCAGGAUUAACCCCUGUGCAUCACCAAGUGUGACCCAAAAAGCAAAAAUAAAUAAAUAAAUAAAUAAAUAAAAGAUACUUGUCAAAAGCUAUCUUGAAAGCACGAGGACAAGUUCUGGGGAAAAUACAAAGGUAAAUAAGACUGUUCUGGUUCAGUGUAAACUUACAAUUCAUUUGGAAAGACACACAUAUGAGCAUAUAUUACCAAGGUAUGAAUACAGGACAGAAAAAAUAUUAAGUGUGUGAUGAGCCUUCCUUCUCCAAUUGUAGUCGCCAGUGGAGUCUGAUCUUUCAAAUCUAUCCGCUAAAUCUGUCCUUCCUGUGAGAUGCCAUAGCAUUGCUCUUCCCUUCUAAGAUCCUUAUGCUCCAUGC